GAUGAACGCUGGCGGCGUGCUUAACACAUGCAAGUCGAACGGAAAGGCCAGUGCUUGCACUGGUACUCGAGUGGCGAACGGGUGAGUAACACGUGGGUGAUCUGCCCUGUACUUUGGGAUAAGCUUGGGAAACUGGGUCUAAUACCGGAUAGGACAACUUUUUGGAUAUUGUUGUGGAAAGCUUUUGCGGUAUGGGAUGAGCUCGCGGCCUAUCAGCUUGUUGGUGGGGUAAUGGCCUACCAAGGCGUCGACGGGUAGCCGGCCUGAGAGGGUGUACGGCCACAUUGGGACUGAGAUACGGCUCAGACUCCUACGGGAGGCAGCAGUGGGGAAUAUUGCACAAUGGGCGCAAGCCUGAUGCAGCGACGCCGCGUGGGGGAUGAAGGCCUUCGGGUUGUAAACUCCUUUCGCUAGGGACGAAGCGCAAGUGACGGUACCUGGAGAAGAAGCACCGGCUAACUACGUG
rnacentral:rRNA from 1 species